rnacentral:lncRNA from 1 species
CUCAGAGCUUAUGCUGCAAGCUGCUGCUGUUUUCAUGGUGCCUCGGGUAACCUGCUCUAUUGCGUGUGGUGUGGAAUUACUGUGGUAUUGCUUAUAAUUUAUACUAGUUAUUAGUUAUUGCAGGCUUUGUUUACAGAUUACCUUAAAGAAAAUACAGCUCAACCACUUAAAGCUGCUUCAAAGCCUGUUUCCCAAAAAGAGAAGGGUCAGCCCAGCAGGGGAAAGGAGCAAGUUCCAGCCCAAUCCAAAGUGUGCCAAGCCAGACUGAUAUCCUAUGACAGAACAGGAAACUUUGAAAGAUGAUGGUGAAUUUGUAUACUGCAUUCCUCGGGGGAAUCUUAAAAGUUUUCACAAUCCAUAUGAUCUUCAGGUGGUAUCUUCCCACAGAGCUAGAAAUUGCAAAAAAUUUUGGAUUAUUUCUGCUUCGUUUAUUUCAAAGGUAAU